rnacentral:misc_RNA from 1 species
CUCUGUGAGGGGAGGGAUGGGGAAGCAUAUGUACUGUUAUAACAAAGUAAUGAAGGUUUCAUGUGUGAGAUCUUAUCAUCUUUUAUGGCUUGAGGAGUCAGGACUUUCAUCCUUAUGGUCAGAAUAGCAACAUUGGCAUAUCAGGGAUACAAUAGUAGGUCAUUGGAAUAUACUGUGACUUUGGAUCACCUUGUUAAUGAUCUUUUUGAUAAUACACAUCUCCAAUCUUGCCUUACUUGCAACAAGACUUGGAGAAAAGAUCAAUGAGACUCCAAAAAAGCAUUAAAGGGCAGCUUUUGAGUCCACUUAUCUUUUACCAUGCCAUGGGUGUUUACUAUAGCUAAGGUGGCAGAGUUGGG